GGCCUGGGAAGUCACAGGCUCAGAGGAAGGGAAGUUGAUAGACGCCACGUGUACCAUGCUGAUCCACGCUUGGGAUCGACAAGUGGCCCUGUUACCCUCCUCAAAGUUUGUUUUUGUUGCCCUCGUCAACGUUCUUCCACAGAAUCAAGUGAUGGUUCUGUGCAGCUUGGGAGCCAGGCCAAGGAGAAGUUGCUCUGAUCUCAUCUGCUCAACAUCACCACCAUAUCUUUGUCUCCUAGGAGAUGAUACCUCAAGGUCGGGAAAAACCUGGCAAGUCAUAGGCUGAGAGGGAGGGAAGUUAAUAGACACCAUGUGUACCAAGCUGAUCCAUGGUAUGGUUCCUUCUCUUUUUUAUUGGUUUUGUUCCAUCCCUUGCUCUUAGUGCUCCAGUGCUCUGUUUUGUUUUGCAUGGCUGACCAGCCAAUCCUGUAGUAGCCUGCAUAUAUUUCCAGUGAAUUAGAAUUUCUAAUUUCUAGGUAAUGAACAAAUCCAGUGAGCUAUCACAACUGCAAAUGCGCGUAUUACUGUUCGAAAUACGCGGGAAGCUGGGAAAGCAUCGUCCAAAAAUCAUCUAAAUAGCACACUUUUAUUGUAGCAAUAGGAAUGUGUUAUUGAAAUGUCAAGUUUGUACGGAUGAAAUGAUAGCCGGGGGUGCUCGCCGGAGAAGAAAGGAGGGCUCGCUGGAGGAGAUCGCAGGUUUGAACUUCCAUGAUAGCCGGGGAGAUGGGGAAAAAGUACUAGGAAAAGGAAGGAGAAGGACGUGGGGAUGGGGGGAAGGAUAACGUGGUGGGCCUAGCGCUGCGUGUGUGGACGAGACCGGCCGAAGCGUUCGGCCGGUGCGCCAUCUCCAAAUGUUUCCCUUUGUUAUUAACUAGAAAAGGCCAAUAGCUAGCACAAAAACAUGUCCUUUGCACUGGAGCGAUCUAGCAAAUGAAUAGUGACCUAAAAAAAAGUUGCGGAACAGAUUAUAUAAGACCUUUGAAGAAUGCUUAGCGAGCAAAUCGCAUAUGCCGUUUCCAUUUUUUUUGUUAUAAUAAAGGGCCCAUUAAUGGCACACAAAAAAACAUUUGAA